CGGAGGGUGCGAGUGUUGUCCGGAAUCACUGGGCGUAAAGGGCGCGUAGGCGGUCUGCUAAGCGUGCGGUGAAAGCCUGGGGCUCAACCCCAGGUCUGCCGUGCGAACUGGUGGACUAGAGCACUGUAGAGGCAGGUGGAAUUCCGGGUGUAGCGGUGGAAUGCGUAGAGAUCCGGAAGAACACCGGUGGCGAAGGCGGCCUGCUGGGCAGUUGCUGACGCUGAGGCGCGACAGCGUGGGGAGCAAACAGGAUU
rnacentral:rRNA from 1 species